GAAGCAAGCCAGUAAGCAGCAUCCCUCCGUGGCUUCUGCAUCAGCUCCUGCCUCCAGGUUCCUACCCUGGGAAUGGAAUCGCAAUGAGAAGUGAUGAAUAGAGACUGACCUGGGCUGCUGGCUCUGAGAGGGUGUGGCCUCUGCAGCUAGAGUAAGAAGAGUUCCCUGUAAGCCAGAGACUUGGUUCAGCGGUUAAGAGUGAUCCUGCUCUUCCAGAGGACUUGAUGGUUCCUAGCACCUACAUCAGGUGGCUCACAGGCAAAGCACAGGAAUUCAAGAAAGGGAAAAGAAGAAAACAAGCAAGGAAAGACAUAUUUUAAGCAGCCAUAUCAUUCUUCCUUACCUCCAAACAUUUGCUCAAACAUGGCUUUCUCGGAGACCUUUUCAUGACGUCUGCAUUGAAAUUGUUGCUCACGGGCUGGGGGUGCUGGUGAGGAUGCUUGCCCCAGUGCCAACAGCACCAACAAUCAACAAAUAACUAAAAUAAUUGCUGCUCAUCGCUGGAGGUGCUGAAGAUCACUGUUUAAGCCACCAUUUGAUCUAUCUCUGUACCCUGUGUCUCUCUCUUCAAGUUGUUCAACCCAGUGAGAACAAGAGUUCUUCCCAUUUUAUCCACGGUUCUAACCUAACAGCUACACUGUCAGCCUUGAUAAAUGUUUGUUGAAUAAAUUGAACCCAAAUACGAUU
rnacentral:lncRNA from 1 species